AGUGAACGCUGGCGGCGUGGAUUAGGCAUGCAAGUCGCGCGGACCCGCAAGGGUUAGCGGCAAACGGGUGAGUAAUAGAUGAACAAUCUGCCCUUAAGUCAGGCAUAGCUUCGUGAAAACGGAGGUAAUUCCUGAUAAGGUCAGCGAAGCGCAUGCUUUGCUGAUUAAAGGUGGGGACCGCAAGGCCUACCACUUAAGGAUGAGUUCGUCUCCUAUCAGCUAGUUGGUGAGGUAACGGCCCACCAAGGCUUAUGACGGGUAGCUGGUCUGAGAGGAUGGUCAGCCACACUGGGACUGAGACACUGCCCAGACUCCUACGGGAGGCUGCAGUCGAGAAUAUUUAGCAAUGGGCGAAAGCCUGACUAUGCGACGCCGCGUGAGGGAUGAAGGUUUUCGGAUCGUAAACCUCUUUUGUCAGAGGAGAAAAAACUGCACCUAAUAGAUGCAGGACUGACGGUAUCUGACGAAUAAGCCACGGCCAACUCCGUGCCAG
rnacentral:rRNA from 1 species